CGGCGGACGGGUGAGUAACGCGUAGGAAUCUACCUGGUAGUGGGGGACAACAUGGUGAAAACCAUGCUAAUACCGCAUACGCCCUAAGGGGGAAAGCGGGGGAUCUUCGGACCUCGCGCUAUUGGAUGAGCCUGCGUAAGAUUAGCUAGUUGGUGGGGUAAAAGCUCACCAAGGCGACGAUCUUUAGCUGGUCUGAGAGGAUGAUCAGCCACACUGGAACUGAGACACGGUCCAG
rnacentral:rRNA from 1 species